UCUAAUGGUACCGGUACCCUAAGUGCGUUGUCAGGUCACGGUUCAUAAGGGUGAUACGGUACCAUACCGGUAAAAGUUACAUAUUUAUCCCUGGACACCGUAGGUACCGGUAACGAAAGAACGAGAUGAGGUAUAACUUUUUACGCCACACAUGCGAGAUGCGACAUGGCCCGCCAGUCUAGAUGCGCAAAAUUUUUGCACGCGGUCCGAGACUUUGCCCAACCCUGUUCUAGUUCAUAUUUUCAGCUUUGUUGAGAAAUAAAUUACUGAUUUCUGAAUUAUAUUUUGUUUUAAAUUUCAAUAGAAUUAUAUUGGGUAUAUUUAUAUAAUUUAUUUUCAGUAUGUAUGCUAUGUAAGCUUACCCAACCAACCUUAAUUAAGUGUUAUUAUAUUUUAAAGUGAAUUGGAAAGUAGACCACUAGCAAAAAAGAUUCGGGCGACUGGGCGAAGCCCAUCUCUGUACAAUGACUGUCAAAUGUGCAUGCAACUGUGCAAUGCCCAGCGACUCUAAAAGCAUGAAGUAUUGUACGACACAUCCUUUACAAAUAUUUGAACAUAUUUUGUGACCUAUGACAAUGGACUGGAAAAUUCACCUGCUCCAAUUCCCUCUUUCACGCAAUCAUACACUGUGUCAUUUCAGACAUCUCAAUGUUUCAAUGCGGACAAUGCCCAAAACAGAGAUUAAGCCAUGCUCCAAUCCAGUCAAUGGAAAAAUUGUUGGGACAGGCGGUAGAAACUCUGAUGCUACAAGCUACGGCAUCUGCAACUUUCCACUGAUUGUAGUGUGGACUCGGACAUACCGGAAUUGAUGAAAUUCAUUGUCAAUUCAUUGUCUGAUUACAUUUUGAUCCAGAAUACAUUCAAGGAUGAAAAAAUGGUUUAUAAGAUAUUUGUCAAGUCUCGGAGGUUGCUCCAAGAAAGACUGGUUUCGAAAAUCAUGAGCUCGGUUAUAACAAAUUUACUCUCCCGCUCUUUCAACUGUGCAGGACGCGGUGGAUAAGAAGGAGUGAGUGGGACGCCCUUAGUUUCUGCUAUUAAAGCUCUGGAUGAUCUGGCAACGAACUUCGAUUAAUUUUAUUACAUGUAUACAUAUUUGUAAAAUAAAGACAUUUUGUUAUCUUU